GACGAACGCUGGCGGCGUGCUUAACACAUGCAAGUCGAACGGAAAGGCCCUGCCUUUGUGGGGUGCUCGAGUGGCGAACGGGUGAGUAACACGUGAGUAACCUGCCCUUGACUUUGGGAUAACUUCAGGAAACUGGGGCUAAUACCGGAUAGGAGCUCCUGCUGCAUGGUGGGGGUUGGAAAGUUUCGGCGGUUGGGGAAGGACUCGCGGCUUAUCAGCUUGUUGGUGGGGUAGUGGCUUACCAAGGCUUUGGCGGGUAGCCGGCCUGAGGGGGUGACCGGCCGCCUUGGGCCUUAGGGACGGCCCAGGCGCCUACGGGAGGCAGCAGUGGGGAAUAUUGCGCAAUGGGCGGAAGCCUGAUGCAGCAGCGCCGCGUGCGGGAUGGCGGCCUUCGGGUUGUGAACCGCUUUCGCCUGAGACGAAGCGUGAGUGACGGUAAUGAGUAAAGAAGCACCGGCUAACUACGUG
rnacentral:rRNA from 1 species